rnacentral:rRNA from 1 species
UACAGUGGGGGCAAGCGUUGUUCGGAAUUACUGGGCGUAAAGGGUCUGUAGGUGGCCAACUAAGUCAGACGUGAAAUCCCUCAGCUUAACUGGGGAACUGCGUCUGAUACUGGAUGGCUUGAGUGUGGGAGAGGAAUGCGGAAUUCCAGGUGUAGCGGUGAAAUGCGUAGAUAUCGGAAGGAACACCAGUGGCGAAAGCGGCUUCCUGGUCCAGCACCGACGUUCAGGCACGAAAGCGUGGGGAGCAAACAGG